rnacentral:rRNA from 1 species
GCUCUCAGCUAUGAGAGAGCGCGGCGCACGGCUCAGUAACAUGUGGUUAACCUACCCUCAGGACGGGGAUACCCUCGGGAAACUGAGGCUAAUCCCAGAUAGAUGAGGGAUCCUGGAAUGGUUCCUCAUCGAAAAGGCACGCAUAUCAUGCUAUACGUGUCGCCUGAGGAUGGGACCGCAUCCUAUCAGGUAGUUGGUGGGGUAACGGCCCACCAAGCCUAUAACGGGUACGGGCCCUGAGAGGGGGAGCCCGGAGAUGGGUACUGAGACAAGGACCCAGGCCCUACGGGGCGCAGCAGGCGCGAAACCUCCGCAAUGCGCGAAAGCGCGACGGGGCCACCCCGAGUGCCAUCCGCUGAGGGUGGCUUUUCCCUAGCGUAGUAAGCUAGGGGAAUAAGCGGGGGGCAAGUCUGGUGUCAGCCGCCGCGGUAAUACCAGCUCCGCAAGUGGUCGGGACGAUUAUUGGGCCUAAAGCGUCCGUAGCCGGCCUAACAAGUCUCUGGUUAAAUCUCAAGGCUUAACCUUGAGAUCGCUGGAGAUACUGUUAGGCUAGGGGGCGGGAGAGGUUGAGGGUACUUCGCGGGUAGGGGCGAAAUCCUAUAAUCCGCGAAGGA